rnacentral:rRNA from 1 species
UCCGUAGGUGGCAAGCGUUGUCCGGAUUUAUUGGGUUUCAAGGGUGCGUAGGCGGUCAUAUAAGUCAGCGGUGAAAUCCGGCAGCUCAACUGUCGAUGUGCCAUUGAUACUGUAUGACUUGAGUACUGAUGAGGUAGGCGGAAUUGACGGUGUAGCGGUGAAAUGCUUAGAUAUCGUCAAGAACACCGAUAGCGAAGGCAGCUUACUAAGCAGUAACUGACGCUGAGGCACGAAAGUGAGGGGAGCAAACAGG